rnacentral:lncRNA from 1 species
GAAAUAAUGCAAGUACAACUACUAUUAUGAUUAAGAUAUUUGUUGCUGUUAUUGUCUCACAGAAACUUAGAAAAAAAUCAUUACUCUCUCUUAUGAUGAAGCUUUCACAACAUUAGUGAGGCAAAGAAAAAAAUCAUUACUCUGUCUUAUGAUGAAGCUUUCACAACAUUACUGAGGCAAAGGCGUUCAAGUGAUUCCAAGAGAGAGAUAUUGACCAAUACACAGUUCAAUCCAAAAUUCCUUCACAAUCCAUAAGCCAGAGAUCUCUGCUUUAAUUAAGGUGCUUCUCUUAUUUUACAAUUUUCAUAUCAUUCUGUUUAUGCUUCACUUUUUUCGAUUGCUCCAUAUGGAGUUUGAUCUGUGUAGUGAUCAUGAUAUUUUAUCAUCGCAUGUUAGUUAAUUACAU